UACGUAGGGUGCAAGCGUUGUCCGGAAUUACUGGGCGUAAAGGGCGCGUAGGCUGUGCUGUAAGUCAGGCGUGAAAGCCCCGGGCUCAACCUGGGAAUUGCGCUUGAUACUGCGGCGCUGGAAGGUGGGAGAGGAUGGCGGAAUUCCCAGUGUAGAGGUGAAAUUCGUAGAUAUUGGGAGGAACACCAGAUGCGAAGGCGGGUCACUGGGCUGAUACUGACGCUGAGGAGCGAAAGUGUGGGGAGCGAACAGG
rnacentral:rRNA from 1 species